rnacentral:rRNA from 1 species
AAUAGAUACCCGAGGUAGUCCACGACUGUAAACGAUAAUCACUAGACGUUGGUCUGGCUUAGCCGGAUCAGUGUCAAAGCUAACGCGUUAAGUGAUUCGCCUGGGGAGUACGGUCGCAAGAUUAAAACUUAAAGGAAUUGACGGGGGUCCGCACAAGCGGUGGAACAUGUGGUUUAAUUCGACAGUACGCGAGGAACCUUACCUGGGCUUGACAUGUAUCUGACAGCUGUAGAAAUACAGUCUUUCAGGUUUCGGCUUGAACAGAUACACAGGUGCUGCAUGGCUGUCGUCAGCUCGUGUCGUGAGAUGUUGGGUUAAGUCCUUUAACGAGCGCAACCCUUGCUGCCAGUUGCAACUUGUCUUUGACAAGGCACUCUGGUGGGACUGCCUGGGAAACCAGGAGGAAGGUGGGGACGACGUCAAGUCGUCAUGGUCCUUAUGUCCAGGGCUACACACGUGUUACAAUGGCCGAGUACAGCGGGUUGCAAUUCCGUAAGGAGGAGCUAAUCCCCUAAAGUCGGUCUAAGUUCGGAUUGGGGU